UUAUUUUAAAAAAAAGGCAAAAAAAAUAAAUAAAAUAAUUCUUAUUUUAAAAUUAAUUACGUAAUGGAUCCAAAAUAUUUAUUUUGGCUGAUCUCUACAUCCGGACAGGUGUCGUUGCUCAUAGAAUUUUCGCGACAGACGGAACCUCGAUACUCCAAAUGCGCAUGCUCACCGCAUCUGCUGUUGAUCGAGGUCGCCAUUUUGAUCGUCGACUGUCAGUUCCGAAUGAAAAUAUUCGUUUAAUUACUCUCGACAGUUUAAAUCGACUAAACAUGUUUUACAGGAAAAUUACAAGCCUAUUUACUCUGUAAAUAAGACCGAAUCGUAUUCGAUUUCGAUCCGGACCAGGGUAUUUUAAGAGCCAAUAAUUAAUAAAGAACAAAAAAGAAGGAACUGGAGUGGCAAUAAGCCACUGCAAUUUGUAAAAGAGGCCUUUAUCAACGAAUGCUAUCCUUGAGGCUGGUGUCUUGCAGAUUCCUCAAACAGCCAUAGACAGUUUGUGUGGCCAUGUUUGUUGAUCACGAUUUGAGUCUUGUUUCAGCAGAUAUUAAUCCUUUAAUCUGCCGUGGAUUCUAGAGUGAAUCUGUUAUUGAAAUCUACAAGCAAAUACUUGUAGUUGUGCUUUAAAUGCACAAUUGCUACAGCUGAUUCAUUUGACAAAGUUUGCUGUUUCCCUUCAUUUAUUUGAAACUGACAUCUUCAAAAUUGAUUGAGCCUAGCUGAACUUUGUGGAUAAAUCUAGUAGAAUUGGCUUGGGUACCACAUUCCCUUGCAGCUGUAGUAUCAGGAUUAGUCAGCUGCUUAUGGGAAAGAAUGCGGAAUCCUUCUUGUGCUCAAGUUAAUGUUAUAGAAAUGACAACUCUGUCAGAGAGUCAGAAUGCUGAUUGUGAAACUGGAAGAAGUCAGGAUCAGCAAUGUUCAAAGAAGUCUAAUUUACAGCAUCAGAUAUUUGGAUCAUCAUUAAGAGAUUUGAAAGAACAAAAUGAUAAAAGUAAACAUGCAGUACCCUAUGUUCUUUAUAGACUAUGUACUUUCAUAGAAAUGAAAGGUAAAGUUGGUUUAACAUUUU